CACGAUCAGUCCAAGCAGUCCGCAUAAUACCUAGCAUUGUAGCGUGCACAUGUCGCUGACUGCAAACCUUCACAAGAUCUGCAGCAAAUUUGCAGCGUGUAUGGUUCAAAUAUUAAGCCCCUUGCUUUAAGGCUUUGCCAAUUUGCAUAUCAACAUCGUCACGAUGUUGACAUUUUGGUCGUCUAUACCGUAGUGACAGGAAAUGUUCGUGAUUUUAAUUUCGUGACGGCAUCACGAAAUUAUGUCACAUAUAAAUUACAAGCUGUUCCAGGCGAUGGUCGUCACGAAUAUAUGUGUGCUCCGAAGCCAAAUCGUAUAAUGCCUUCAACACAGUAAUUACUCGUAGAAUUCCACUUUCCUGGCCAUAUAUACAUCCAUAGUAAUUGAACGGACAUGGAUCCGAGGGCCAAGCGGCCUAAGCAACAAAGCCUCCUUCAAUGCGGACUCUUCACACUUGCUCGCGGCGCCCCAGCUACGGAUAGAGCUGGUUUUGCCGCUCCUAAAUAACCGUGCAUGCAUUGGCCAGCUUUUGCGUCAAUCGGCGUUCUGAGUCGGAACCAUUAACGAAUAUUGCAGGCACCGUUGCUUCGGUUGCGUUGGCUUCUCACGAAUUCAACAGUUUCACCAAUAAUUUCGGGUGUAAUUUUGAGGGUGUCUCGAACAAUAAAAUCACGAACAUUUCCUGUCACUACGGUACCCUACAGGCUUUCAGGCCUACCUAUCAUACUAUGACACGGUCUAUUCUAUACAACGAAUAUACAUACAAUCUAUUUCUGGUUCCUAGAUAUAUAAUACGAUGAACGUUUCUAUAGACGAUAAAAAAUCUUUACUGACUGUGCAGAGGUACAGGAAAAAUAUCCUUCACUAAUAAAACGCUUGCAGCUGCCCAUCUCAAGCUGCAAGCUUCAAUUAUAAUGUCAACUAAAACAGUUUAAGAAGAUUUCAAGGAUAACUCGCUACUUCGGGGCCUGUCAUCGUGGGCAAUGGCCAUUAUUAUUUCUUCGCGGCAACCGGCUCUUCACCAGCAUGUCGAUGGUAUCACAUGUAUUGCGCUCAUUCUGUGGACUUUCAAAUUUGCAUUGAGAGCAUUAGUUGCAUGGCUAUUUGCUAGCAGGGCAGGUAGGCCGGCUGCCCAAGAACGCCCAAGCGGCCUGCUCGCUCAGGCAACCUGCUCGUGUUUUUUAAUCCCAACAACAGCCUCAAUAUUUUUACUUGAGCUUCUGUGGAAAACGCUGACGCCACCUCUUGUUUUUGCAUGCUGAUCACCAGCUGCUUUACCUUGCACCGCUGUGGGCGGGCGCGCAUGGAAAUUCCUUCCACCCCUUGGAGCAGACCUUUUGCUCCUGGACCUGCUAAAUCGGUACUGGGCAUUCUGUUGUUGUGAGCAUCCUGAAAACUAAGCUGAGUAUAGUUUUCAGGAUGUUCACUAAAACACAUUCUCAACACAUCCGCACGCACAUUUGCCAAUGCGCAUGGCACACUCACCGAGGCCCAAUCCUUGGUGCUUGGAUCGUACAGAUUCCCGGCAAUGGUGCCUACGAGCUUCGGACGCCACAGCAGGACUCUGGC
rnacentral:lncRNA from 1 species